rnacentral:ncRNA from 2 species
UUGUUAACAAUUAGUUAAGAUGCCUUAGGGCUUAAUAGGGAAUCUGGUGCAAUACCAGAACUGUCCCCGCAACUGUGAGUGUGGACGAAAUAGACAAACCACUGGACCGUUUAUUUAAUGACGAUUCGGGAAGGGUCUAAAGUAGGAAGAAACACAAGUCAGGAGACCUGUCUUAACUUUUAAUGUUUC